ACGAACUUAACCAUUAGUUUACUAUUGGAGCGGUUAGUGGCGGACUGGUGAGUAACACGUAAGCAACCUGCCUAUCAGAGGGGAACAACAGUUAGAAAUGACUGCUAAUACCGCAUAUGCCUUAGAAUCACAUGGUUCAAAAGGGAAAGGAGCAAUCCGCUGAUAGAUGGGCUUGCGUCUGAUUAGCUAGUUGGUGGGGUAAUGGCCUACCAAGGCAACGAUCAGUAGCCGAACUGAGAGGUUGAACGGCCACAUUGGGACUGAGAUACGGCCCAGACUCCUACGGGAGGCAGCAGUCGGGAAUAUUGCGCAAUGGAGGAAACUCUGACGCAGUGACGCCGCGUGCAGGAAGAAGGUUUUCGGAUUGUAAACUGCUUUAGACAGGGAAGAACAAAGACAGUACCUGUAGAAUAAGCUCCGGCUAACUACGUGCCAGCAGCCGCGGUAAUACGUAGGGAGCGAGCGUUAUCCGGAUUUAUUGGGUGUAAAGGGUGCGUAGACGG
rnacentral:rRNA from 1 species